ACGGCCGUACCAUGCUGAAUAUACCGGUUCUCGUUAGAUCACCGAAGUCAAGCAACAUUGGGCGCGGUCAGUACUUGGGUGGGUGACCACCUGGGAACACCGCGUGCCGUU
rnacentral:rRNA from 1 species